GAUGAACGCUGGCGGCGUGCCUAAUACAUGCAAGUCGAGCGAACGGACGAGAAGCUUGCUUCUCUGAUGUUAGCGGCGGACGGGUGAGUAACACGUGGAUAACCUACCUAUAAGACUGGGAUAACUUCGGGAAACCGGAGCUAAUACCGGAUAAUAUUUUGAACCGCAUGGUUCAAAAGUGAAAGACGGUCUUGCUGUCACUUAUAGAUGGAUCCGCGCUGCAUUAGCUAGUUGGUAAGGUAACGGCUUACCAAGGCAACGAUGCAUAGCCGACCUGAGAGGGUGAUCGGCCACACUGGAACUGAGACACGGUCCAGACUCCUACGGGAGGCAGCAGUAGGGAAUCUUCCGCAAUGGGCGAAAGCCUGACGGAGCAACGCCGCGUGAGUGAUGAAGGUCUUCGGAUCGUAAAACUCUGUUAUUAGGGAAGAACAUAUGUGUAAGUAACUGUGCACAUCUUGACGGUACCUAAUCAGAAAGCCACGGCUAACUACGUGCCAGCAGCCGCGGUAAUACGUAGGUGGCAAGCGUUAUCCGGAAUUAUUGGGCGUAAAGCGCGCGUAGGCGGUUUUUUAAGUCUGAUGUGAAAGCCCACGGCUCAACCGUGGUGGGUCAUUGGAAACUGGAAAACUUGAGUGCAGAAGAGGAAAGUGGAAUUCCAUGUGUAGCGGUGAAAUGCGCAGAGAUAUGGAGGAACACCAGUGGCGAAGGCGACUUUCUGGUCUGUAACUGACGCUGAUGUGCGAAAGCGUGGGGAUCAAACAGGAUUAGAUACCCUGGUAGUCCACGCCGUAAACGAUGAGUGCUAAGUGUUAGGGGGUUUCCGCCCCUUAGUGCUGCAGCUAACGCAUUAAGCACUCCGCCUGGGGAGUACGACCGCAAGGUUGAAACUCAAAGGAAUUGACGGGGACCCGCACAAGCGGUGGAGCAUGUGGUUUAAUUCGAAGCAACGCGAAGAACCUUACCAAAUCUUGACAUCCUUUGACAACUCUAGAGAUAGAGCUUUCCCCUUCGGGGGACAAAGUGACAGGUGGUGCAUGGUUGUCGUCAGCUCGUGUCGUGAGAUGUUGGGUUAAGUCCCGCAACGAGCGCAACCCUUAAGCUUAGUUGCCAUCAUUAAGUUGGGCACUCUAAGUUGACUGCCGGUGACAAACCGGAGGAAGGUGGGGAUGACGUCAAACCAUCAUGCCCCUUAUGAUUUGGGCUACACACGUGCUACAAUGGACAAUACAAAGGGCAGCGAAACCGCGAGGUCAAGCAAAUCCCAUAAAGUUGUUCUCAGUUCGGAUUGUAGUCUGCAACUCGACUACAUGAAGCUGGAAUCGCUAGUAAUCGUAGAUCAGCAUGCUACGGUGAAUACGUUCCCGGGUCU
rnacentral:rRNA from 1 species